UACGAAGGGGGGCUAGCGUUUGUUCGGAAUUACUGGGCGUAAAGCGCGCGCAGGCGGUCCUUUAAGUCUGAUGUGAAAGCCCACGGCUCAACCGUGGAGGGUCAUUGGAAACUGGGGGACUUGAGUGCAGGAGAAGAAGAGUGGAAUUCCACGUGUAGCGGUGAAAUCGUUAGAAGAUGUGGAGGAACACCAGUGGCGAAGGCGACUCUUUGGCCUGUAACUGACGUGAGGCGCGAAAGCAU
rnacentral:rRNA from 1 species